UGUGAAGAGCGUUUCCGGAGGGCGUGAGGCGGGGCGAGGCAUGGCGAGGCGUGGCGUGGCGUCCUAUGGUAGUGCGGCAGCUGGUCUAGGUGGUGGCUGUCGCUGUUGGUGCAGCGGUGCCCGGCAAAGUAUUAAAUGUUGAAGAAGAGCUCAGGGUACUAAUAUGAAAAGUUUAUGUUGGACUCGACAGUUACAAAGGUGCCUUUAACUCAAAAGAGUCGAUAUGCCAAAGCUGCUUAUUUUGGAAUGCCACGUUCUGAACCCUUUCACUGGUAUGUCAAGAUGUUUUGAACUCAUCUUACACAUUUCCUGCCCCCAGACUUGGAAUCAGCUAUUUCUCCAAGAAACCUUGGUUUCUUUUAGU